rnacentral:rRNA from 1 species
GGAAGCAGCUUGCUGCUUUGCUGACGAGUGGCGGACGGGUGAGUAAUGUCUGGGAAACUGCCUGAUGGAGGGGGAUAACUACUGGAAACGGUAGCUAAUACCGCAUAACGUCGCAAGACCAAAGAGGGGGACCUUAGGGCCUCUUGCCAUCGGAUGUGCCCAGAUGGGAUUAGCUAGUAGGUGGGGUAACGGCUCACCUAGGCGACGAUCCCUAGCUGGUCUGAGAGGAUGACCAGCCACACUGGAACUGAGACACGGUCCAGACUCCUACGGGAGGCAGCAGUGGGGAAUAUUG